AACCCAUGAUUUGGCCAUUUUCUCAACAUUUUCUUAAAUCUCCCCCAUGUCUCACAGAAAGCUUUCAUCUGCUCCUUGUCUAAACAUAGAGAUUUCAGACUUUGCUU
rnacentral:snoRNA from 1 species